GACAGAGGAUGCAAACGUUGCUCGGAUUUACUGGGCGUAAAGCGCGCGCAGGCGGUUCCGUAAGUCGGACGUGAAAGCCCGGGGCUCAACUCCGGAAGUGCGUCCGAUACUGUGGAACUGGAGUACUGGAGAGGAGAGCGGAAUUCCCGGUGUAGAGGUGAAAUUCGUAGAUAUCGGGAGGAACACCAGUGGCGAAGGCGGCUCUCUGGACAGAUACUGACGCUGAGGCGCGAAAGCGUGGGAAGCAAACAGG
rnacentral:rRNA from 1 species